ensembl:lncRNA L1CAM-AS1 L1CAM antisense RNA 1
GGCCGUGGCUGGCGGGUUUCUAUGGUGAUGCAGCCCAAGUCCCAGAGACCAGGGUCUUGGCUGGGAUCCCCAUCCUGGCAGACCUCCUCACAGGACCCCACCACUACCCCAGGUUCUCCCAUGAACGUGCCCUCCUGGAGCCUGGGCCACUCUGCGAGGCCGCAUCACCCUCACACCCAGAAAAGCACUCAGUGCAGCCAUUUCGAGCUUUGAAAGGGAACUUGGUGAUCAAGGUGCAUGCCAAGGAAGGCGCCAGCUGUAGUUCCAGUGGUGGAAAGGGCUCGGACCUGGGAGAGGCCGAUUGGGGGCACAAUCUGGGCACCCUGCUCACUGUAGGAGCCCUCAGGCCAGGCCCUUCCUCACUCUUUGCCUCCCUUUUCCCUUCAGAUAAUCAUCAAGAAAAAAGAAAACAAGUGACACCCCACGAAGACAGGGACAAUGCUGGUCCAGUUUGUCACUGGCUCUUCCAUGGGCAGCCCAGAGCCCGGCCCAAAGGAGCACUGGCCAUGAGCAGCUGCCCAGUACACGACUGCCCAUCGCUGGGAUCCUGAGCGCCUGGAGCCUGUGGAAACGGGCUCCAGAGGCGCCCUACGCCUCCGGGGAGGAGCCCCUGGCUCUGCGGCAGGUUUUCGGGCCAGCAUCUGGGGCCCCGCAGGUUACCCCUCACCUGUCGGGCUCGGGCACCCGGCAUCCCUCCCCCGCCCCGCUUACAGCCCGCGGUGCCCGGAGCCCGACGCCCGGCAUGGGUGGGGCUCCGGCAGCAACGCCGGUUACCGCGGGCCGGACCGGGCCGGGACUCCCUGCCCUGCACAGGAUCGAGAAGGAAGGAGCUCCUCCCCAGUGCCCCCUCCUAGGCUCAAGGCCAUGACCUCACAGGCGAGGAAGCAAAAUGGAGGGGCCCUCAUAGACACAGUGGACUGGACAAGGGAAGCCCCAGACUCUGACCCUGUGAUGAGCAUGCAGAAGACGCAGAAGCCACAGACGACAGUGGGGCAGUAAGGAAGUGCCAGCAGGCAGGCGGGGUGGGCUCAGCCAGACGUGUCUUUCUCUGUUCUCCUUUCAAUCUUUCUGUGUCUUCAUAUCUCAGGUGUAGCGCUUGGAAACAGCACAUAGUUGGGUUUUGGUUUGGUUUGAUUCUGUCUAACAAUUCUUGUCUUUUUAAAAAUCAGCUUUGAGACCUGCCUGGGCAACACAGCGAGACCACGUCUCUACAAAAAAAAUUUUAAAAUUAGGCAUGGUGGUGCAUGUCUGUAGUCCCAACUACUCAGGAGGCUGAGGUGGGAGGAUCGCUGGAGCCCAAGAGGUUGAGGCUACAGUGAGCCAUGAUCACACCACUACACUCCAGCCUGGGUGACAGAGUGAGACCCUGUCUCAAAAAAAAAAAAAAAAAAA